GAUGAACGCUGGCGGCGUGCCUAAUACAUGCAAGUCGAGCGAACGGACGAGAAGCUUUCUUCUCUGAUGUUAGCGGCGGACGGGUGAGUAACACGUGGAUAACCUACCUAUAAGACUGGGAUAACUUCGGGAAACCGGAGCUAAUACCGGAUCAUAUUUUGAACCGCAUGGUUCAAAAGUGAAAGACGGUCUUGCUGUCACUUAUAGAUGGAUCCGCGCUGCAUUAGCUAGUUGGUAAGGUAACGGCUUACCAAGGCAACGAUGCAUAGCCGACCUGAGAGGGUGAUCGGCCACACUGGAACUGAGACACGGUCCAGACUCCUACGGGAGGCAGCAGUAGGGAAUCUUCGGCAAUGGGCGAAAGCCUGACGGAGCAACGCCGCGUGAGUGAUGAAGGUCUUCGGAUCGUAAAACUCUGUUAUUAGGGAAGAACAUAUGUGUAAGUAACUGUGCACAUCUUGACGGUACCUAAUCAGAAAGCCACGGCUAACUACGUG
rnacentral:rRNA from 1 species